GGAAAUGGAUCUUUCGCUAAUUACGCAUACGUCCUGCAAGCAACGCGAAAGUCACCGCGUCCUGCGGA
rnacentral:sRNA from 1 species